rnacentral:tRNA from 1 species
UGGGAUGUGGCUCAGUUGGUAGAGCGCUUGUCCCGCAUGCACCAGGCCCUGGGCUCAACCCCCAGCACCACAA